AGAAAGAAAGAAAGAAAGAAAUGCGUACAAAGAACAUGCAUAGAAAGCAAUUCGAGCAAAAGGAAGAUAAACGCUGCGUAUAUAUUCGUAGUUGUAGCAAUUCAGUUUUAUCUGUUUCUUUUCGGAUUCU
rnacentral:ribozyme from 1 species